rnacentral:rRNA from 1 species
UACGGGGGGAGCAAGCGUUGUUCGGAUUUACUGGGCGUAAAGGGCGCGUAGGCGGUCGUGACAAGUCACUUGUGAAAUCUCCGGGCUUAACUCGGAACGGUCAAGUGAUACUGUCGUGCUAGAGUACAGAAGGGCAACUGGAAUUCUCGGUGUAGCGGUGAAAUGCGUAGAUAUCGAGAGGAACACCUGCGGCGAAGGCGGGUUGCUGGGCUGAUACUGACGCUGAGGCGCGAAGCUAGGGAGCGAACGGG